rnacentral:lncRNA from 1 species
CUUCACCCUCACCCCCACCUUCACCAUCCUCCUCACCACGUGAGGAUGGAUAAAGUCGCCACAGAUCCUCAGUAUUGAUGACAGCCAUGUUCCGGCCUUGCCUGACUUGCUUGACCCACCCUGGUCGCACCAGACCUGCUCUCUGCCGAGCUACAAUGUCGAUACAGUUACAGAAUGAAUUGCAGGCCCUGCUCUUCUGCUGCUACAUCCCGGUGUCAUCCAUAAGAAACAGUGACAAGAACUCUCUCCCUGCUGCUCACCGUCACUGUCCCAGACAGCAAAGAGUAACUGACUCAGGAAAACAGGCUCGUGGAUGCCCUCGGGGACCUGCCCGCUGAGGAUCUCUUAGUCACCGGCAGGCAGCCAAGGAGGAGCCCUUUGUGGUCUUGGCUUUUCACUCAAGGUUUGUGGCCAAGUCUAGAAAGGCAGCUUUCACC